CCCAUCUCAGAGAUCUGCCAUGACUCUGCCUCCUGAGUGCUGGGAUUAAAGGCAUUCUCCACUACCGCCCAGCCCAGUGUUUUUGUAUUUUUAAUUUGUCUUACAGGGUUGUUUUAUCCCCAUCUCAUCUUCUCUUCUACCAUUUUUUAAUCUUUUAAAAAAAUGAAAGGAUACCUAAGACAGGUGAGAGGCAGAAUGUCACCAGUUAACAGCAGGAAUAACCAGGAAAAACCUAAGCCAGGAAUAGUGUCUAUUUUCACCUGCAAACUCAUUCCUCUGUGCAGGGUAAGGUGAAGUAGCACUGGUCCCUCAUGCCUUUGCAUACAAGAUCUCCAUAAAUGUUAACAGGACUGAAGAUCUUUCUUUGGGGAGCAGUCCCUCCCGCCCACCAUCAUUUGUAGAGGAAGUUUGAUAAUGUUAAGCCGAUGUCCAAGUGCCAUUUAUUAAUGUUUGUGUGUUUAGAUAUGUGUAACCUUAUAUUCUCACCCCAUUCCCUACUGAGGGUAUCAAGGCAGUAACAAAUCAAAGGGAUGCUCUGCAGACUCGGGCAGCCUGGGUGAGUUUUACUGCCUGGAUCUGAAGAGUGACAAGGACAAAAUAGUCAGUUCAUGCUGGAACAAAGGAUUCUGGGGCUGGAAUUUACCACAGAGACAAUGCUAUCAGGAACAUCCUGUCCUUGGUUGAAUGGGGAAUUUUUUGUGGAGCCAUUUGACACCCACUUUGGGAGGGAGACUUUAUCCUUUUCCUCCCACAACAUGGGUCAGAUGUAUUCUCUAUCACAUGAAGAGAGUGAUAAUAAUGUUGUUCAUUCUUGAGCAUCCUAAUAAAGAAAUAUGUUCCUACUUCA